AGUUAAAGUGGCAGAGACCGGUAAUUGCGUAAAACUUAAGCCUUUAUUUACCAGAGGUUCARUUCCUCUCUUUAACAUA
rnacentral:tRNA from 1 species